rnacentral:rRNA from 1 species
GAUGAACGCUGGCGGCGUGCUUAACACAUGCAAGUCGAACGGAAAGGCCCGAGCUUGCUUGGGUACUCGAGUGGCGAACGGGUGAGUAACACGUGGGUGAUCUGCCCUGCACUUCGGGAUAAGCCUGGGAAACUGGGUCUAAUACCGGAUAGGACCACAUUUUGGAUGGUGUGGUGGAAAGUUUUUCGGUGUGGGAUGAGCUCGCGGCCUAUCAGCUUGUUGGUGGGGUAAUGGCCUACCAAGGCGUCGACGGGUAGCCGGCCUGAGAGGGUGUACGGCCACAUUGGGACUGAGAUACGGCCCAGACUCCUACGGGAGGCAGCAGUGGGGAAUAUUGCACAAUGGGCGCAAGCCUGAUGCAGCGACGCCGCGUGGGGGAUGACGGCCUUCGGGUUGUAAACUCCUUUCGCUAGGGACGAAGCGUUAUGUGACGGUACCUGGAGAAGAAGCACCGGCUAACUACGUG